UUGCCUAGAGACAAGUCCCUGUGGCUUAGCGGAGAAGGAAACAUCUGUGGAGGUGGGUCGGCCACAGACUUUCACUUGUACUGUUUGUGGGAUCCUCAGCAUAAUCUCAUGAUGCUAGGAGAAUGCUGAUGUGAGCCAGCCUAAGGAAACCUCAAGCAGAGCCGCAGGAAUUCACUACGAAAUCUCUUAAGUGUCCAAAAGGAUCUGCAGGAUGCCUCAGGCCUACCUAGACUUUGCAGGGGUGAAGUUGCAGGACCCCAUCCACCCUUCACCAGUCUGUAUCUUCACCUGUUUCUGAACUUAUUGUGUCUCACACUGUAUGUGCCAGAAUGAAAUCCCAAGAUGAUGGAGAAGUGUCCCCUCACGAUGUGAAACACUUGAUCUCCUGGGAACCAAAUUUGAGGUGAAGGUGCAGGUCUGCAUCCAAACCUCACCAGAUUACAUCCUCACCCCAUCUGACCUCACUGCUGCUCACACUGUUUGUCCCAGAAUAAAAUCCCAAGAUGAUGGCGGAGUGCCCCCUCAUGACACGAAGCACCUGCUCUACUGCAAACCAAAUUCAAGGCAGGUGGAGGAACUCAGCCAUCCUGAGUACUGGUGGAAGGAUGAAGUAUGCCUUUCAUCACAACGUUUACUUCCACAAUGAAGUGAUCAUUAAGGAGUACUGCAUUGGAAUUCUCAGUAAGGAGUGCCUCCCUGCAUGGUAGAGGGGG